AGAACGAACGCUGGCGGCAUGCCUAACACAUGCAAGUCGAACGAGACCUUCGGGUCUAGUGGCGCACGGGUGCGUAACGCGUGGGAAUCUGCCCUUGGGUACGGAAUAACAGUUAGAAAUGACUGCUAAUACCGUAUAAUGACUUCGGUCCAAAGAUUUAUCGCCCAGGGAUGAGCCCGCGUCGGAUUAGCUAGUUGGUAGGGUAAAAGCCUACCAAGGCGACGAUCCGUAGCUGGUCUGAGAGGAUGAUCAGCCACACUGGGACUGAGACACGGCCCAGACUCCUACGGGAGGCAGCAGUAGGGAAUCUUGGACAAUGGGCGAAAGCCUGAUCCAGCCAUGCCGCGUGAGUGAAGAAGGCCUUAGGGUUGUAAAGCUCUUUUGGCGGGGACGAUAAUGACGGUACCCGCAGAAUAAGCCCCGGCUAACUUCGUGCCAGCAGCCGC
rnacentral:rRNA from 1 species